UACAGAGACUGCAAGCGUUAUUCGGAUUCACUGGGCGUAAAGGGUGCGCAGGCGGUUGGGUGUGUCAGAUGUGAAAUCCCGAGGCUUAACCUCGGAACUGCGUCUGAAACUACUCGACUAGAGUACUGGAGAGGGAAACGGAAUUCACGGUGUAGCAGUGAAAUGCGUAGAUAUCGGAAGGAACGCCGGUGGCGAAAGCGACGUGCUGGACCUCUUCUGACGCUGAGGCGCGAAAGCCAGGGGAGCAAACGGG
rnacentral:rRNA from 1 species